UGGCGUCAUAAGAACAAUAUUUUAGCGAAAAAAAGUCAUUCACGAAAUGAAAAAACGGAAGAGUAAAUCAUAAAAACUGCAGCAUGUAAAAACAGAAACGGAAGAAUGAAACAAAAAAGAAAUAAUAAUUGAAAGAAAUCUUGCAAGUGAAUAAGUGUGAAAUUCUAAAAUGCAAAAGAGCGAGAGAGAAAGAUGAAAAAAAAUAAAUAUUUAAUCAGCUCCUGGAGAGCAUGGCAAAACAAACAAGCAAAAAUGCAAGGAUUAACAAAACGAAGUUCAAUUACAUGAGGUGAACAACCUGCGGAAAACACAACGACAACAACAACAUAUUCAAGAGAAGGAUAAACGUAAAC